GAUCAACGCUGGCGGCGUGCAUGAGACAUGCAAGUCGAACGAAGGAUCGGGCUUGCUCGAUCCUUAGUGGCGGACGGCUGAGUAACGCGUAGGUGACCUACCCCGACGUGGGGAAUAACUGCCCGAAAGGGUGGCUAAUACCGCAUGUGGACGCACGUCCAUUCGUGCGAGUAGAGCCGCAAGGCGCUGCGGGAGGGGCCGGCGUCCGGUUAGCUCGUUGGGUGGGUAAUGGCCUACCAAGGCGAGGAUCGGUGGGUGGUCUGAGAGGACGGCCACACAGGCUGGGAGUGACGCCCGACCCAGACUCCUGAGGGAGGAGGCGGUAGGGAAGUUUGAUCAAUGGGGGACUCACGGAGGCAGCAACGCCGCGUGAGGGAUGAAGGCGUUCGGGUUGUAGACCUCUUUUGUCAGGGACGAUGAUGACGGUACCUGGCGAAUAAGCCACGGCUAACUACGUG
rnacentral:rRNA from 1 species